UACGAAGGGGGCUAGCGUUGCUCGGAAUCACUGGGCGUAAAGGGUGCGUAGGCGGGUCUUUUAAGUCAGGGGUGAAAUCCUGGAGCUCAACUCCAGAACUGCCUUUGAUACUGAAGAUCUUGAGUUCGGGAGAGGUGAGUGGAACUGCGAGUGUAGAGGUGAAAUUCGUAGAUAUUCGCAAGAACACCAGUGGCGAAGGCGGCUCACUGGCCCGGAACUGACGCUGAGAUGCGAAAGCGUGGGGAGCAAACAGG
rnacentral:rRNA from 1 species